GGGGAUGUAGCUUAGUGGUAGAGCGCUUGCCUAGCAUGCAUGAGACACUGGGUUCAAUCCCCAACACCACA
rnacentral:tRNA from 1 species